GCCUGGGUGGCUUAGUUGGUUAAGCGUCUGACUUCAGCUCAGGUCAUGAUCUCACCAUUGGUGAGUUCCAGCCCCGCAUCAGGCU
rfam:Felis catus isolate Cinnamon breed Abyssinian chromosome B1, whole genome shotgun sequence.